UUCGGAUCGCGGCGACGCCGGUGGUUCGCCGCCGGUGACGUUGUGAGAAGUUCAUUAAACCUUAUCAUUUAGAGGAAGGAGAAGUCGUAACAAGGUUUCCGUAGGUGAACCUGCGGAAGGAUCAUUG
rnacentral:rRNA from 1 species